GAUGAACGCUGGCGGCGUGCCUAAUACAUGCAAGUCGAGCGAACAGACGAGGAGCUUGCUCCUCUGACGUUAGCGGCGGACGGGUGAGUAACACGUGGAUAACCUACCUAUAAGACUGGGAUAACUUCGGGAAACCGGAGCUAAUACCGGAUAAUAUAUUGAACCGCAUGGUUCAAUAGUGAAAGACGGUUUUGCUGCCACUUAUAGAUGGAUCCGCGCCGCAUUAGCUAGUUGGUAAGGUAACGGCUUACCAAGGCAACGAUGCGUAGCCGACCUGAGAGGGGGUACGGCCACCCGGGAACUGAGCCGCGGCCCAGGUCCCUAGGGGGGGCCGAGGUGGGGAAUCUUCCGCAAUGGGCGAAAGCCUGACGGAGCAACGCCGGGUGGGUGAUGAAGGUCUUCGGAUCGUAAAACUCUUUUAUUGGGGAAAAACAAAUUUGUAAGUAAAUAUGCCCGUUUUGAGGGUACCUAUUCAGAAAGCCAGGGCUAACUACGU
rnacentral:rRNA from 1 species